rnacentral:rRNA from 1 species
GUAGGUGGCAAGCGUUGUCCGGAAUUAUUGGGCGUAAAGCGCGCGCAGGCGGUUCUUUAAGUCUGAUGUGAAAGCCCACGGCUCAACCGUGGAGGGUCAUUGGAAACUGGAGAACUUGAGUACAGAAGAGGAAAGCGGAAUUCCACGUGUAGCGGUGAAAUGCGUAGAGAUGUGGAGGAACACCAGUGGCGAAGGCGGCUUUCUGGUCUGUAACUGACGCUGAGGCGCGAAAGCGUGGGGGAGCAAACAGGAUUAGAUACCCUGGUAGUCCACGCCGUAAACGAUGAGUGCUGAUGUUAGGGGGUUUCCGCCCCCCCCUUAGUGCUGCAGCUAACGCAUUAAGCACUCCCGCCUGGGGAGUACGGCCGCAAGGCUG